rnacentral:rRNA from 1 species
UACGUAGGAGGCAAGCGUUGUCCGGAAUUACUGGGUGUAGAGCGCGUGUAGGCGGCAGGCCAAGUCUGUGGUGAAAUCGCUCGGCUCAACUGGCGGGGCCCAUGGAAACUGGUCAGCUGGAGGACGGUAGAGGUGAGUGGAAUUCCCGGUGUAGUGGUGAAAUGCGUUAGAGAUCGGGAGGAACACCCGUGGCGAAGGCGGCUGCACUGGGCCGGUCCUGACGCUGAGACGCGAAGGCGUGGGAGCGA